rnacentral:rRNA from 1 species
CACUCCUGCGGGAGGCAGCAGUGGGGAAUUUUGGACAAUGGGCGAAAGCCUGAUCCAGCAAUGCCGCGUGAGUGAAGAAGGCCUUCGGGUUGUAAAGCUCUUUUGUCAGGGAAGAAACGGUGAAAGCUAAUAUCUUUUGCUAAUGACGGUACCUGAAGAAUAAGCACCGGCUAACUACGUGCCAGCAGCCGCGGUAAUACGUAGGGUGCAAGCGUUAAUCGGAAUUACUGGGCGUAAAGCGUGCGCAGGCGGUUUUGUAAGUCUGAUGUGAAAUCCCCGGGCUCAACCUGGGAAUUGCAUUGGAGACUGCAAGGCUAGAAUCUGGCAGAGGGGGGUAGAAUUCCACGUGUAGCAGUGAAAUGCGUAGAUAUGUGGAGGAACACCGAUGGCGAAGGCAGCCCCCUGGGUCAAGAUUGACGCUCAUGCACGAAAGCGUGGGGAGCAAACAGGAUUAGAUACCCGAGUAGUCCC